CACAUAUCAAUAAGCGGAGGAAAAGAAACCAACAGGGAUUGCCCCAGUAACGGCGAGUGAAGCGGCAACAGCUCAAAUUUGAAAUCUGGUCCCCAGGGCCCGAGUUGUAAUUUGUAGAGGAUGCUUUUGGCAAGGUGCCUUCCGAGUUCCCUGGAACGGGACGCCAUAGAGGGUGAGAGCCCCGUCUGGUCGGAUACCGCGCCUCUGUAAAGCUCCUUCGACGAGUCGAGUAGUUUGGGAAUGCUGCUCAAAAUGGGAGGUAUAUGUCUUCUAAAGCUAAAUAUUGGCCAGAGACCGAUAGCGCACAAGUAGAGUGAUCGAAAGAUGAAAAGCACUUUGAAAAGAGGGUUAAAAAGUACGUGAAAUUGUUGAAAGGGAAGCGCCUAUGACCAGACUUGGGCCCGGUGAAUCAUCCAGCGUUCUCGCUGGUGCACUUUGCCGGGCACAGGCCAGCAUCAGUUUGGCGCGGGGGAUAAAGGCUUUGGGAAUGUGGCUCCCUCGGGAGUGUUAUAGCCCAUUGCGCAAUACCCUGCGCCGGACUGAGGUACGCGCAUUUGCAAGGAUGCUGGCGUAAUGGUCAUCAGCGACCCGUCUUGAAACACGGACCAAGGAGUCGUCUUCGUAUGCGAGUGUUCGGGUGUCAAACCCCUACGCGUAAUGAAAGUGAACGCAGGUGAGAGCUUCGGCGCAUCAUCGACCGAUCCUGAUGUUCUCGGAUGGAUUUGAGUAAGAGCAUACGGGGCCGGACCCGAAAGAAGGUGAACUAUGCCUGUAUAGGGUGAAGCCAGAGGAAACUCUGGUGGAGGCUCGCAGCGGUUCUGACGUGCGAAUCGAUCGUCAAAUAUGGGCAUGGGGGCGAAAGACUAAUCGAACCUUCUAGUAGCUGGUUCCGCGG
rnacentral:rRNA from 1 species